GGCUUAGAGUUUGAUCAUGGCUCAGGAUGAACGCUGGCGGCGUGCUUAACACAUGCAAGUCGAACGGAGUGCUCAUGACGGAGGAUUCGUCCAACGGAUUGAGUUACUUAGUGGCGGACGGGUGAGUAACGCGUGAGGAACCUGCCUCGGAGUGGGGAAUAACAGCCCGAAAGGGUUGCUAAUACCGCAUGAUGCAGUUGGGCCGCAUGGCUCUGACUGCCAAAGAUUUAUCGCUCUGAGAUGGCCUCGCGUCUGAUUAGCUGGUUGGCGGGGUAACGGCCCACCAAGGCGACGAUCAGUAGCCGGACUGAGAGGUUGACCGGCCACAUUGGGACUGAGACACGGCCCAGACUCCUACGGGAGGCAGCAGUGGGGAAUAUUGGGCAAUGGGCGCAAGCCUGACCCAGCAACGCCGCGUGAAGGAUGAAGGCUUUCGGGUUGUAAACUUCUUUUAUCAGGGACGAAACAAAUGACGGUACCUGAUGAAUAAGCCACGGCUAACUACGUGCCAGCAGCCGCGGUAAUACGUAGGUGGCAAGCGUUAUCCGGAUUUACUGGGUGUAAAGGGCGUGUAGGCGGGGCUGCAAGUCAGAUGUGAAAACUAUGGGCUCAACCCAUAGCCUGCAUUUGAAACUGUAGUUCUUGAGUGCUGGAGAGGCAAUCG
rnacentral:rRNA from 1 species